rnacentral:rRNA from 1 species
CGCAUCUGUGCAUGCAGCAUAUCAAUAAGCGGAGGAAAAGAAACUAACAAGGAUUCCCCUAGUAACGGCGAGUGAAGCGGGAAGAGCUCAAAUUUGAAAUCUUAAAGGGUUUCCCUUUACGAAUUGUAGUUUAAAGAAGUGUUUUCUGUUGAGGUUUUGGUAAAAGUUCUUUGGAAUAGGACAUCAUAGAGGGUGAGAAUCCCGUAUUUGACCUUUACUUUCAACUUUGUGAUACACUUUCAAAGAGUCGGAUUGUUUGGGAAUGCAGUCCAAAAUGGGUGGUAAAUUUCAUCUAAAGCUAAAUAUUGGCGAGAGACCGAUAGCGAACAAGUACCGUGAGGGAAAGAUGAAAAGAACUUUGAAAAGAGAGUUAAACAGUACGUGAAAUUGUCAAAAGGGAAGCGUUUGACACCAGUGUUGUUUUUCUGAAAAUCAAUUAAAGAACUGUUUAUGCUAAGUUGUUUAGACUUUAUCAGCUAUCUGUUUAGUUUUGAGCUUUUCUUUAAUGCACUUUUCAGUUAACAAGUCAACAUCAAUUUCUUUUGCUGUAAAAAAGCUUGAGGAAGGUGGCUUGAGAUUCGUCUUAAGUGUUUAUAGCCUCUUGCCUAUGCAGUCGGAGAGAUUGAGGUCUGCAGCGUAGAUCCUUCGGGGCUAAAUGCAUUUGUGCUAAGCUUAUAGCAUUUUAUAGACAACUUGUUGACUAUGAUUUGUCUUGUAGCUUACUCGCUUAUGUUAUUUUACCUACGCUUAGGAUGUUGAGUCGUAGAGCACGCAG